AAAAUAAAAAAAAUAAAAAAAAAACUAGCAAUUUAAAAAAAAAAUUAUAGUAGUUGAAGAGCAAAGGAGAGAUGCAAUUGUAGACGAGAAGCCAUUGAAGUUGAAUUUCUUGUUGAAUGAUGUUAUGUCACUUAAGUGGAAGCCUUUAAGGGUUUUAUUAUAUAUACAUAAAAAAGGAGAAAUUGUCGUUGAGAGGAAGAAGGAGAAGAAGAAGGGAAGAAGUGGGCAUAGAAAGAAAUCAGCAUAGUAAAAGAAAGGAAUAAGUAUGAGAAAAAGAAGAAGAAGAAAGGAAUAAAAAAAAAAAAGUAAAGAUGAAGGAGGAGGGAAGAAAUUCAGUUCAAUGUAGAGG
rnacentral:misc_RNA from 1 species